AGGCAGCAGUGGGGAAUAUUGGACAAUGGGCGAAAGCCUGAUCCAGCCAUGCCGCGUGUGUGAAGAAGGCCUUUUGGUUGUAAAGCACUUUAAGCGAGGAGGAGGCUACUUAGAUUAAUACUCUAGGAUAGUGGACGUUACUCGCAGAAUAAGCACCGGCUAACUCCGUGCCAGCAGCCGCGGUAAUACAGAGGGUGCGAGCGUUAAUCGGAUUUACUGGGCGUAAAGCGUGCGUAGGCGGCUUCUUAAGUCGGAUGUGAAAUCCCUGAGCUUAACUUAGGAAUUGCAUUCGAUACUGGGAAGCUAGAGUAUGGGAGAGGAUGGUAGAAUUCCAGGUGUAGCGGUGAGAUGCGUAGAGAUCUGGAGGAAUACCGAUGGCGAAGGCAGCCAUCUGGCCUAAUACUGACGCUGAGGUACGAAAGCAUGGGGAGCAAACAGGAUUAGAUACCCUGGUAGUCCAUGCCGUAAACGAUGUCUACUAGCCGUUGGGGCCUUUGAGGCUUUAGUGGCGCAGCUAACGCGAUAAGUAGACCGCCUGGGGAGUACGGUCGCAAGACUAAAACUCAAAUGAAUUGACGG
rnacentral:rRNA from 1 species